UACGGAGGGUGCAAACGUUGCUCGGAAUCAUUGGGCGUAAAGGGCGCGUAGGCGGUGUGUCAAGUCAGGCGUGAAAGCCCCGGGCUCAACCUGGGAACAGCGCUUGAGACUGGCACGCUCGAGUUCGGGAGAGGAUGGUGGAAUUCCCAGUGUAGAGGUGAAAUUCGUAGAUAUUGGGAAGAACACCGAUGGCGAAGGCAGCCAUCUGGACCGACACUGACGCUGAGGCGCGAAAGCGUGGGGAGCAAACAGG
rnacentral:rRNA from 1 species